rnacentral:rRNA from 1 species
AGAGUUUGAUCCUGGCUUAGGAUGAACGCUAGCUACAGGCUUAACACAUGCAAGUCGAGGGGCAGCAUUGGAGUAGCAAUACUUCAGAUGGCGACCGGCGCACGGGUGAGUAACACGUAUCCAACCUGCCGCUUACUCGGGGAUAGCCUUUCGAAAGAAAGAUUAAUACCCGAUGGUAUAAAGAGUUCGCAUGUUCUCUUUAUUAAAGAAUUUCGGUAAGCGAUGGGGAUGCGUUCCAUUAGAUUGUUGGCGGGGUAACGGCCCACCAAGUCUACGAUGGAUAGGGGUUCUGAGAGGAAGGUCCCCCACAUUGGAACUGAGACACGGUCCAAACUCCUACGGGAGGCAGCAGUGAGGAAUAUUGGUCAAUGGACGAGAGUCUGAACCAGCCAAGUAGCGUGAAGGAUGACUGCCCUAUGGGUUGUAAACUUCUUUUAUAAGGGAAUAAAGUGAGGGACGUGUCCCUUUUUGUAUGUACCUUAUGAAUAAGGAUCGGCUAACUCCGUGCCAGCAGCUGC